UCCGGCUUAGCUCAGUUGGUAGAGCAAUUGACUGUUAAUCAAUGGGUCGCUGGUUCGAGUCCAGCAGCCGGAGCCA
rnacentral:tRNA from 1 species